ACCUCGGGGUAGAAAGGCACAACAUUGGUUUGGACCCAUUGAUCGGAGAGAUAUUGGCUUUUGGAGAUGUUGGCAAUGAUUUCGUUUGGCACCAUGAUGGAGACUACGAUGUCGGUGUUCUUGAGGGCAUUAAGGAUAUCUGGGUCGGCAUUGUAGAUUUUGACGCGUUUGGCUCCGAGAGAUUUGACGAGCUCCACUGACUGCGGAGGUGAUGGGAGCUUGUUUCCCAAUCCGCCCCAGUUGAUUCCCACCUUGUUCGAGAUCUCUGCUCUGCAAGUGGAAACAAAGAAAGCAAAAAUGAAGAGAGGAAGAAAACCCUUCUCCAUUGUUGCUCUCUUGAGGUUAAUCUAGUGGGUGUGAUUUGUAAUGCAGAAAGGAAGGAUUUUGAUUUUCUUGAUUAAAGAAUGGAGGGGGCAGUUGAGGUAGUGCGGUGACCAAUUCUUAUGUAUCAAAGGCUGAGUAUUUUACUCGUUGCUGUAAUACAGGAAAAUGGGAAUAAGAAUAUAUCACUUCUUUAAUGUCAGCUUCUUUAGCUCUGUGACAAGCUAAAGGAAGGAAGAAAGAAGAAAAGAUAG
rnacentral:misc_RNA from 1 species